UGGAUACACCGCAAACGACUGUGUGGAGAGAAUAAAACCUGAUGAGCAAAGAGCCUGUGAAUCCGGCCCUUGUCCUCAGUGGGCUUAUGGCAACUGGGGAGAGUGCACUAAGCUGUGUGGUGGAGGCAUAAGAACAAGACUGGUGGUCUGUCAGCGGUCCAACGGUGAACGGUUUCCAGAUUUGAGCUGUGAAAUUCUUGAUAAACCUCCCGAUCGUGAGCAGUGUAACACACAUGCUUGUCCACACGACGCUGCAUGGAGUACUGGCCCUUGGAGCUCGGUACGGCCCUAACUAUUCAUGUUUGUUAACCAAACUAUCUAAUUCCAAGGUAUUCUGGGGCACUCCUCUGUGGCAGAUAAUUGUCACACUUACAAGGGCAUCCCAGAAACUCUGCUAUAAAUAGUCUAUUAUUUUCUCCAUAUUGGCACAUAAUAGAAUUAACUUUUUAUGAUAUUGCCAAAGUGACUUUAAAGAAUAAGUGUACCUCAUACAGGACCUGGUGCCAAGAAGUAGCUGCCUUUUCUUAGCCUAAAUACACACACACACACACACACACACACACACACACACACACAUCAUACACACACACAUACAUAGUGAUUUUAACAGACAACUCAAUAGCACACAUUCUUUCCUUUUCUAAGCUGUAGUAGUUUUGACUUUUUGGGAAAGAUACCUGCUUACUGAGGCCAAAGCAAUUUUUCUUCAGUGACUGUAAUUUGCCUGUGUGACUCGGGUACAGCUCUGAACAUAAUUUUUACAAAGUCUG
rnacentral:lncRNA from 1 species